UACAGAGGGUGCGAGCGUUAAUCGGAGUUAUUGGGCGUAAAGGGCGCGUAGGCGGGUUAAUGAGUUAGAUGUGAAAUUCCUGAGCUUAACUUAGGGUAGGCAUCUAAGACGGUUAAUCUGGAGUACGGUAGAGGGGAGUGGAAUUUCUGGUGUAGCGGUGAAAUGCGUAGAUAUCAGAAGGAACACCGGUGGCGAAGGCGACUCUCUGGACCGAUACUGACGCUGAGGCGCGAAAGCGUGGGUAGCGAACAGG
rnacentral:rRNA from 1 species